CCUGGCAAAAGCAUUGACAAAAGCCCUGGCAAAAGCCCUCACAAAAUUCAUGCACUUGUCCCUGGCAAAAUCCAUUUGAAAAUCCCUGGGAAAAGACUUGGCAAAAUCCCUG